rnacentral:rRNA from 1 species
GUGCCAGCAGCCGCGGUAAUACGGAGGAUGCGAGCGUUAUCCGGAUUUAUUGGGUUUAAAGGGUGCGCAGGCGGCUUGCUAAGCGGGAGGUGAAAUGCCGGCGCUCAACGUCGGAAGUGCCUCCCGAACUGGUAGGCUGGAAUGACCCUGCCGUGGGAGGAAUGUGUGGUGUAGCGGUGACAUGCAUAGAGAUCACACAGAACACCGAUUGCGAAGGCAUCUCACGAAGGGUUGAUUGACGCUGAGGCACGAAAGCGUGGGUAGCGAACAGAAUUAGAUACUCUGGUAGUCCACGCCGUAAACGAUGAUGGCUAACCGCUGGCUCAUCCGGGUCAGUGGCCAAGCGAAAGCGAUAAGCCAUCCACCUGGGGAGUACGACCGCAAGGUUGAAACUCAAAGGAAUUGACGGGGGCCCGCACAAGCGGAGGAACAUGUGGUUUAAUUCGAUGAUACGCGAGGAACCUUACCCGGGCUCGAACGGUGCAGGAAGGACCCAGAGAUGGGAACGCCCUUCGGGGCCUGCAUCGAGGUGCUGCAUGGUUGUCGUCAGCUCGUGCCGUGAGGUGUCGGCUCAAGUGCCAUAACGAGCGCAACCCUUGCCGUCAGUUACCAGCACGUAGAGGUGGGGACUCUGGCGGGACUGCCACCGCAAGGUGUGAGGAAGGGGGGGAUGACGUCAAAUCAGCACGGCCCUUACGUCCGGGGCGACACACGUGUUACAAUGGCGGCCACAGAGGGGCACUACCUGGUGACAGGAUGGGAAUCUCGAAAAGCCGUCUCAGUCCGGAUCGGAGUCUGCAACCCGACUCCGUGAAGCUGGAUUCGCUAGUAAUCGCGCAUCAGCCAUGGCGCGGUGAAUACGUUCCCGGGCCUUGUACACACCGCCCGU